AGCCACAAGUUUGGGAGUUUUUGUAUUACCUAAGAAGAUCAAAGAGCAACCAUCUUCUAAUGUAUAUAGUUCCAUGUGUCAUAGAAACACCUUCCUUAAGUUAAGGAUACAUCUUGAGAACUUCAUCCAUCUAUCCUAAUGAAGAUAGUGGAAUCACUUGUCAGGAAUCCAGAAGAGAGUUUGCAAAGCUUUCCUUCUUGUGCCCAGGGAGGGCACUUGGCUGCCAAUGUGAAGAACAGAGACUGCCUGAAGAACUCAAAUUGGUCUACUUUAUCCACAUCGUCCAACUAUUCCCUUGAGCAUAAUCAUACUCUACUUUGGAAGAGAAAAAGAUAACUUCCUAAUGUGUGCCUGAGAUUUCUGCCAUAGAAUUUAGCUAUUUCAUGACAUCUGAAAACAUACUAAAAUGCCUUACAAAUAUUUAAGACCCAAGGUAUCUGCUCAAAAUAAAUUACAAAGGAUGUUCACAACGGUCUAUUUCUUGCUCCAGUUCCAGACCAUACCAAUCACCUCAGCAUAAGUUAACAGAUAAACUGUCAGUACUUAAUCUCACACACAUGGAUUCUGCCUGGGAACUACUCUAUCGUUGAACAAAGUCAGACAAAAGUGUUCAACCUUUCUGACUUAAAAAAAAAAAAAAUCAAUCAGAUUUAGAGAUAUAUUCCAAUGUCUAGAACAACUUUUGUUUUCCAGAAGAGAAAAAAACAUGAAACAAUUUUGGCAGUAGCCCUUUGCUUUGAAAUUAUACGACAAAGACCUACACAAUGUCAUCUCCAAAACCAGUGUAUCUGAUGAUACUUUGUUUUUCUGCUGAGAAGUGGAGAAAUUUGAAUACCAAGUAUUUAAGAAUUAUAGCAACAAUUCAAUAUAGUCAGUACAAUUAAACAUUAAUUUAUGUUGCUCCAUGGAAUAUUUGAAAUAUAUAAAAAUGUAAAAGUCCACGGAAGUUUCUCAGCUAAUCAAGAAUGUAUUACUCACACAGAGCACAGGAGAUGACAAAGAAGAAUGCCUAUGCAUGUUCAUUGAUGUAUAGUUUUAUUUACUUGAUAGAUGAUAAGGCUCUUUCCAUCUAUCUUCUUAAUCUGUAUUUUUCUAGUUUCAAAGGAAAAGUUUUAAAUUAUAGAU